GACGAACGCUGGCGGCGUGCUUAACACAUGCAAGUCGAACGGAAAGGCCCUGCUUUUGUUGGGUGCUCGAGUGGCGAACGGGUGAGUAACACGUGAGUAACCUGCCCUUUACUUUGGGAUAACUUCAGGAAACUGGGGCUAAUACAGGAUAGGAGCUCCUGCUGCAUGGUGUUGGUUGGAAAGUUUCGGCGGUUGGGGCUGGACUCGCGGCUUAUGAGCUUGUUGGUGGGGUAGGUGCUUACCAAGGCUUUGACGGGUAGCCGGCCUGAGAGGGUGACCGGCCACAUUGGGACUGAGAUAGGGCCCAGACUGCUACGGGAGGCAGCAGUGGGGAAUAUUGCACAAUGGGCGGAAGCCUGAUGCAGCAACGUCGCGUGCGGGAUGACGGCCUUCGGGUUGUAAACCGCUUUCGACUGUGACGAAGAGUGAGUGACGGUAAUGGGUAAAGAAGCACCGGCUAACUACGUG
rnacentral:rRNA from 1 species